GCGGGGUGUUCGGUGCGGGGUGUGCGGUGCGGGCUGUCCAGCGCAGGAGCCGGAGGAGCCGCUGCUGCCCCUUGGGACCGGGCACGGUCGGGAACAAAAACGCGAAUUCAGAUCGUUGCUGGAAAGACGUCUUUGCAUUUGUUUAGAGCAGAAGGUGAGCGUUUCUGCAUUGGAAAGAAGUUCCUGUGACAGCAGCACGGGAUGGUCAGGGAGCCUGCUUGAGCCCAGAGCUCACCUGUGAAGUUCUUGCUCUUCUUGCUGUGUGAGAGAGUGUGUGGUCCCAAACCAGCCUGUUUCUGACACACCACUGGUACUGCUCCCCAGCAGGGAAGACUGGGGUUGACCUGCCAUGCCUCACUCGCUGCUUCAGCCAUCCAGGUCACAGGUGACAGGGUUUCUUGAGGAGUUUGACCAUUACUCUUCCCUGGCCAAACUCAUGUCCAUCUACCACGCGACGAACAGGAGCAUCUUCAACUGGACAGAGAGCCGCAUUGUUGAGUGGGAGAAGUUUGCUGAGCUGGCUAAAUAUGAGCCAGAAUCCCAGAAACCAACAGUGAAAGCGCUGCUAAUCAUGGCAUACUCGGUCAUUAUCGUCAUGUCUCUCUUUGGGAACAUGCUGGUGUGCCAUGUGGUGCUGAAGAACAAGAGGAUGCACUCAGCCACCAGCCUCUUCAUCGUCAACCUGGCGGUGUCAGACAUCAUGAUCACACUGCUCAACACACCUUUCACCUUGGUCCGGUUUGUGAACAGCACGUGGGUUUUUGGGAAGGCCAUGUGCCACAUCAGCCGCUUUGUGCAGUACUGCUCCCUCCACGUGUCCACACUGACCCUGACGGCCAUCGCUCUCGACAGGCACCAGGUCAUCCUGAACCCUCUGAAGCAGAGGAUGUCCCUGACAAAGGGAGCUCUGAGCAUCUCUGUUAUCUGGCUGAUGGCAACCUGUUUCUCCCUGCCCCAUGCUGUCUAUCAAAAGCUUUUCCAGUAUAACUACAGGGAAGCCACUGUCCGGAGUCUGUGCCUCCCUGACUUCCCUGAGCCUGCAGAGUUGGUCUGGAAGUAUCUGGACCUGUCUACCUUUCUUCUUCUUUACCUCCUGCCUCUGCUGAUCAUCACCAUCACCUACAUGCGCCUGGCCAAGAAGCUGUGGCUCCGCAAUGCCAUCGGGGAUGUCACCAUGCAGCAGUACGUCACCCACCACAGGAACAAGAAGAAGAGCAUCAAGAUGCUGAUGCUGGUGGUGGUGGUCUUUGCAGUCUGCUGGUUCCCCCUGAACUGCUACGUGGUGCUGAUCUCCAGCCUGGGCAUCAAGACGAAGAACUCACUCUAUUUCGCGCUGCACUGGUUCGCCAUGAGCAGCACCUGCUACAAUCCCUUCAUCUACUGCUGGCUGAACGAGAGCUUCCGCACGGGGCUCCGCUCCCUGCUCUGCGUCUGCCAGAAGGUGCCACAGCCUCAGGAGCAGGCGCUGCCACCCAGGCCCGUGUCCUGCCGCGAGGCGUGGCUGGAGCAGGCCAGGUGCAGGAAGGGACCGGCCUCCCAGGCCAGCUGCUCCACCAGGAACCUCCCGACGGCCAGCACGGACCUGUGAGCCACGGGGUUUUCCCAUUUAUUGCUAUCAGAGGGAGUGGACCCAGGUUUCUGUCAGUGGCUGUAACAUGUAUCAUAACGUGGGGCUCUGCACAGCAGCAGGAACAAAUCCGUGAUGACAGAUGUCUGAAGGAAGGACUUGGGCAUGCAGAUGUGCUCCAUCCACAGGGAGCCUCACCAAUUAGUGUAUAGCAAAGCCUCCUACAGAGUUUUUGCAGUGGGAAGGAAAAGGACAGAAAGGAGGGGGAUCCUAGCUUCAGGCCACUUGACCCCUGCUGGGCACCUUGGGUGUGCACUGCAGUGCCUGCACCAGAAGAAAACAGCAGAACACGAGGAGUGGCAGCAAGAAUGGAUGAAUACUUCAUCCCUGAGGCACUUUGCUUGGAGCUCACACUUAUUGAACAUGGGAAUUCAAAGCUGUGCUGGUUGCCAGCGCCGUCCUCUCUCAGUGUACAGAAGGGUUUGUUUUCAGUCAAAAAACAUCACUGUGAGUUUCUCAGAAUGUUAAGACAAUCUCUAAUUAAUAAGCAUCACCUCAUUUAAUUAGUAAAAGAAGCUAUCGUUUGUUUUUUUCCUGUUCCUUGCUCCUCACUAGCUUUUGGUGAGCAGCUCUCAAACUGCCAUGUAUUGUCUUUAAUAUUUAUUAGGUUUGUUUUUCUUCCUUUCUUUCUUUAAAUGGCUGAAUAACCUUUUUGUGGAGGAGUCCAAGCCCUUACUCCAAAGAAGGGGUCUCACCACGCUGCCUUGAUCUUCUGCUAAUCCCUGUAGUUAUCUAUCUCUUGCUGUCAGAAAUAACCUGGCUGGUUUUCCUUGGAUCUGUCAAUCGCAGCAUCUCCUCGUUGCUGAAUUUUUCUCCCCUAAAAGGGCAGGAUGUAAGAGCUGAGUGUAUCGAAUCUCCGUAAUGGCUCAGCUAUCUGGACUGAUAAUUAUCAAUGCCUGAGUGAGAAUCAGAACUUUGUAUGCUUUGCCCAGUGCCUCAAGGCUCCUGUGUCACUUGAGGAUGCCCUGACGCCCAGCAGCUCUCAGGCAAACAUAAAUGCACAAUAUAUAUAUAAAAAGCAUAACCUGAGCAUCGUUUGACCAGGGCACGGACAGUGCCUGGGGAGCAGGAGGCUGCAUCUCUGCUGGACUCCAAGCCAGCCUCUGGAAAAGGGAAUCUGUGAAAUUCGGCUUCUGCUGGGUCUGAGUCA